UUUUUUUUUUUGUUUUGUUUUGUUUUGUGUUUUUCUUGGAGAGGCAUCCACAGAAGCAUAACAUUUUUUUAGUCAAAACUCCCCAACAUGAACAUGGGAAGACCAAAAGUGCAGAUUCUGUGUCACAAACGGAAAGAAUUCAAGAGUUACAAUGAAGCUGCAAAAUAUCUAGGAAAAGAAAAGUUUAGACAAAAUAAUCUCUGAACUAUGGCAGUUCUAAACCAAAAUGCUAAUAACUGAAGGAAAUGGUUUUGACAAGACAUUGAUAACAACAUGGGAAAGAAAUGCUGUUUCUCAUCAUUUGUACCUGCACAAACAUUCUGAUCCUGGCAGCUGUUUCUUUUACUUCAGCAAGACAACCAUGUACUGUGAGCCAAUUUGUGAUCCAGUUAUUCCAGGAACCAAAGGGAGAGGCACAACUUCCUCGCUAUAUUCUUCUUAAUGGCUUUGAAGUUGUGGUCUUUUUACUCCUACAGACUCUGUCUGUGCUUUGAAAUAUCACUAACAAAGCAAACAAUAAAACAAUUUUUUUUUUCAGCCCUGUACCAUGUUUUCAGCAUU